rnacentral:tRNA from 1 species
GUGGUUGUAGCUCAGUGGUAGAGUGCUGGCCUUGCAUAUAUGAGGCUCUGGGUUUGAUUCUCAGCACCACA